AUUGAACGCUGGCGGCAGGCCUAACACAUGCAAGUCGAACGAGUGGCGGACGGUUGAGUAAGGUCUGGGCAACUGCCCGAUGGAGGGGGAUAACUAAUGGAAACGGUAGCUAAUACCGCAUACCAUCUGAUAUGCCCAGAUGGGAUUAGCUAGGAGGUGGGGUAACGGUUCACCUAGGCGACGAUCCCUAGCUGGUCUGAGAGGAUGACAAGCCAAACUGUAACUUAGACACGUUCCAGACUCCUAAGGGAGGCAGCAGUGGGGAAGAUGGCACAAGGGGCGCAAGCCUGAUGCAGCCAUGCCGCGGGUAUGAAGAAGGCCUUCGGGUUGUAAAGUACUUUCAGCGAGGAGGCGGUACUCGCAGAAGAAGCACCGGCUAACUCCGUGCCAGCAGCCGCGGUAAUUC
rnacentral:rRNA from 1 species